rnacentral:lncRNA from 1 species
UGGCCACAUUCAGCUAAUCAAGAUGGACACAUUUGUUUAUUAUGUGCUAAUACUAAUUUAAAUUGUUAUUAAUAUUGUUAUGUAGAAAUUAUAGUGUUUGGUUGAAAGGUAGUCGCUUAUUAGUUAAGGACUUUUUUUUUCUUUUCAUGGAUAGACAAAUCCAUUGUAUAGUGAAAAUAGUUAAAUAUCUCUUCCGUUGAUGACGUUGGUUCUU